GACAACGGAAAUGGGUUAGGGGUGUUACAAGUUUGAUAAAUUAUAUCUUGGGCAUACCAUUUGAGUUUUUUUUUUGUACUAUUGGGAUAAAAAAGCUAACAAACAAAUACAUAAUAAUUACAAAUAAAAUUUAGAAAACAUCACAUUUUUUGACAUAAUAAUCUUCUUUAUACUAGUUAAGUAAAUAAAAAAAACUCUCAGAAAUUUCAACACAACGGGACCAUCUAUUAAGUAC
rnacentral:lncRNA from 1 species